CAAUAGCGUAUAUUAAAGUUGUUGCAGUUAAAAAGCUCGUAGUUGGAUUUCUGAUCGAGACAUCAGGUCGGGUCCGAGAGGAUCAUGUACUUUGAUUUUGUUUUGAUCAUCCUUGGGGAGAGCAUUUCUGGCAUUCAGUUGUCGGGAUUGGGAUCCUCAUCGUUUACUGUGAAAAAAUUAGAGUGUUCAAAGCAGGCCUCGGCCUCUGAAUACAUUAGCAUGGAAUAAUAAGAUAGGACUUUGGUGGUCUAUUUUGUUGGUUUGCACGCCAAAGUAAUGAUUAAUAGGGAUAGUUGGGGGUAUUCGUAUUCAAUUGUCAGAGGUGAAAUUCUUGGAUUUAUGGAAGACGAACUACUGCGAAAGCAUUUGCCAAGAGUGUUUUCAUUAA
rnacentral:rRNA from 1 species